CUGUGUAUACUGGACAUUCAAUUGAGAUCUCGGUAAGGCAAAGUGUUAGGAGUAGGGCUGAUCUCAGAAGCUAAGCAGGGUCAGGCCUGGUUAGUACUUGGAUUGGAGACCACCUAGGAAUACCAGGUGCUAUAGG
rnacentral:rRNA from 1 species